rnacentral:rRNA from 1 species
AUUGAACGCUGGCGGCAUGUCUUACACAUGCAAGUCGAACGGUAACAGGUCUUCGGAUGCUGACGAGUGGCGAACGGGUGAGUAAUACAUCGGAACGUGCCCGAUCGUGGGGGAUAACGGAGCGAAAGCUUUGCUAAUACCGCAUACGAUCUACGGAUGAAAGCGGGGGAUCUUCGGACCUCGCGCGGACGGAGCGGCCGAUGGCAGAUUAGGUAGUUGGUGGGAUAAAAGCUAACCAAGCCGACGAUCUGUAGCUGGUCUGAGAGGAUGAUCAGCCACACUGGGACUGAGACACGGCCCAG